rnacentral:rRNA from 1 species
UACGUAGGGGGGCUAGCGUUGUUCGGAUUCAUUGGGCGUAAAGGGUGCGUAGGUGGUGCUGUAAGUCAGGUGUGAAAUCUCGGGGCUCAACCCCCGAAACUGCACUUGAUACUGCAGUGCUCGAGGACUGGAGAGGAGAUUGGAAUUCAUGGUGUAGCAGUGAAAAUGCAUAGAUAUCAUGAGGAAGACCAGUGGCGAAGGCGAAUCUCUGGACAGUUCCUGACGCUGAGGCACGAAGGUCAGGGGGAGCAAACGGG